rnacentral:lncRNA from 1 species
UUGAUAGAGUAGGGUGUAAAUUUCAGCUUCACUAUGAAAAAAGCACCUACUGCUGUGAAGCCAAGUUGAGCAGCAAGAAGAAGUGAAGAGGUUGACACGGGGAGCUUUGACCCGCCCCAUGAAUACAGAAAAUUAUCAAUACCAGUACCAACACCAAUGACAAAUGAUACAAUGAAAAUCUGGGGUGUUAUCAAGCAAAACUUGGCAUUAGCACCCUUGGACUUUCGACGAUAAAAAUAUAGGAUGGCAAGAGGUAUAAGGGUGAGUGGCCAUCCACCAGUUUGUAACCAACUGCUAAGCCAUACUCUUGAACCUCCCCCGACAUAAUAUAGGCGCAUCAUAAGAGGACCACCACAAACACCAACAGCGAGUAUUAGACAGUUAACCAACAGGAGUAUUCUCCUCAUCUUGGUGCUUAGUCCUUUAUCUUCCAUAUUUUUUCUCAAGAGAUUUGGAUAUACUAGAGGUUGGAGUUCUGCAGCUCAGAUUGCCGCUGAAUGGUCUUUCUCUAGACAGAUAUAUUUGGACCCUCUUGCAGUGAAGAGAUGUGUUUGAGUUGAGCAUAGAAGCCUCCUAUUUAUAGUUGACAAAAAUCACAGUACCCAUUGCGACAAUUGGUUUCACAACUUGGAGUGGCGCCUACUGUAAGGAGGCUCGCUCUUAAAUUGUACUAGUGAAAGAUAUAAUGUAUAGUUGUAUACUAGCUAAAUUUUCUAAGCUG